AUUGAACGCUGGCGGAAUGCUUUACACAUGCAAGUCGAGCGGCAGCGCGGCCUUCGGGCUGGCGGCGAGCGGCGAACGGGUGAGUAAUGCAUCGGAACAUGCCCAGUCGUGGGGGAUAACACUUCGAAAGAAGUGCUAAUACCGCAUACGUCCUGAGGGGGUAAGCGGGGGAUCGCAAGACCUUGCGCGAUUGGAGUGGCCGAUGUCAGAUUAGCUAGUUGGUGGGGUAAAGGCCUACCAAGGCGACGAUCUGUAGCUGGUCUGAGAGGAUGAUCAGCCACACUGGGACUGAGACACGGCCCAGACUCCCACGGGAGGCAGCAGUGGGGAAUUUUGGACAAUGGGGGCAACCCUGAUCCAGCCAUUCCGCGUGAGUGAAGAAGGCCUUCGGGUUGUAAAGCUCUUUCGGUAGGAACGAAACGGUGGGCUCUAACAUAGUCCGCUAAUGACGGUACCUGAAGAAGAAGCACCGGCUAACUACGUG
rnacentral:rRNA from 1 species